CAGAGACAAAUAAAGUUGAUUGUCAUAUAAAAAAGUGAGUUGCAAAUCGAUUUCCAGCCAGCAAUGUUCUGCGGAAAAUUGGUAAUGUAUGCAACUUACGUUUCCCUUUGGUAAUGCGGUUCUUAUCUGUGCUCGACUAUCGAAGUACGUGCGCAAGAAACCACAUUUUGGACACAGACCAAAUUAGAGGCAGAGAAAGAAGGAAUUAUCCCCGAAAGCUCACGCCGUUCGCAUGGAAUUUGUUGUCUAUAUCCUCCUGAAUUUAUAAUGGCGGUAAGCGCUAAUGAAAGCAAAUGUGCAAUACGCCGCGAAGCAAUAAUGGAUUUUGCUACGAACCCCAUUCGGAGGGCAUACAAAAACGGUUCCUGCGGUGGUAUUAUUUACAUUACCGACCUAUUUAUGUAACGGCACGUAUUGGAAGAUUAAUUUUUUCGUGUU